rnacentral:rRNA from 1 species
CCUACGGGUGGCAGCAGUGAGGAAUAUUGGUCAAUGGCCGAGAGGCUGAACCAGCAAAGUCGCGUGAGGGAAGAAGGUCCUAUGGAUUGUAAACCUCUUUUGUCAGGGAGCAAAGUCACACACGUGUGGGAGUUGGAGAGUACCUGAAGAAAAAGCAUCUGCUAACUCCGUGCCAGCAGCCGCGGUAAUACGGAGGAUGCGAGGGUUAUCCGGAUUUCUUGGGUUGAAAGGGUGCGUAGGCGGGUUAUCAAGUCGGCGGUAAAAUCGUGGAGCCCACCUACAGCCUGCCGCUGAAACUGCUGAUCUUGAGUGCGCGAGAAGUAUGCGGAAUUCCUGGUGUAGCGGUGAAAUGCAUAGAUAUUACGCAGAACUCCGGUUGCGAAGGCGGCAUACCGGCGCCCGACUGACGCUGAGGCACGAAAGCGUGGGUAUCGAACAGGAUUAGAUACCCCUGUAGUC